ensembl:lncRNA
GCAAGACUAAUACAGCAUGAGGAACAGAACCAGAGCCUGGAGGAUCGUGAAGGAUCCUCACCCUUUCAACAACAAAGUGUUUCAGCUGCUGUGGUCAGGCGCCUCCGCAGUCACACGGCAAAAACAGAGAGAAUGAGACAGUGUCUUUCCCCAGGCCAUCAGGACUGUUUAUACUGAUCACCGGAGACCCACACAUGCAGCAUCUUCCGAAAGUCAUUACCAGAAGAGACAGAAAGAAAGGACGAGGGAGACCGCAAUGAGAGAGAGCGUUGGAAAGAAGAGACAAGAUGGAGAUAAUUACUUCCUCACGAAGAAAUGGAGAGGAUAGCAUUGGUUAGAAGAGAGCCGAUGAUGGAAGGUACCGAGAUAGAGGGAAGGGAUGGAGAGGAGAAAAUAAGUAGAGGGGACUUCUACUUUAUGUUUGAAGAGGAGUAGAUGGGACUUGAAUUUGUUCUGCUGAGGAAGAAUAGUAACUUUUCUUUUUGUUAUGUUGAGGAAGAAUAGGAACUUCUAAUCUUAUGUUGUGUUGAAGAUUGAAUAGGGACUUCUAAUAUUAUGUUGUGCUGAGGAAGCAUAGGGACUUCUAAUUUGAUGUUGUGUUGAGGAACAAUAGAGACUUUUAUUGGUUUGUUGCGUUACCUGUAGACUGUUAUUUGUUGUUGUAUGGACUGGUGCCAGGUCAAGGCUCUUAGUAGAGCAGCAUAUAGAAGGAAGCGCUGGUUUUAAGAGGAUAUGUUUGUUUCACCAGUUUUUUACGCCCUACUUUUUAAUGUUCUCAUAUAAAUAUGUUGGUAUACUUUACAUACGAAAAGUAUUAGUUUAGCUUGUUAAAUAAAUACUAGAAAUAUUGUUCUAUUGUUUGUUUAGAGUGGACGUGUUAUUGUCCAACUGCAGUUGCAAGAUAAUAAAUGUUGAUUCAUUUAACAAAGCAUUUAACAAAACUGGUUGAUAUCCAAAAACAGUGACUCACUGGCUCACUCCCAAACACACACACACACACACACACACACACACACACACACACACACACACACACACACACACACACACACACACAGGCUUGUCCACAAGGUUUAAACAACAGGAAAAGAUGAACAAUGGCUUAAGACCCUCCACCCUGGUUCCCUUUGGAGACAAACAGACACACACAGUCACAGUCACACACAAACAUACAUACAUUUGUGUCCGGUAAUUGAGU